GCAGAGGGGCGGGCUUUUCCCAGGGAUAUAGCUACGGACAGAGGGCCAAGGGGACGGAGCGCUCCUCAAGUGGUGGCAGGGAGGCUCGUGGCCCCGCGUCGCUCUGGACAGGGGCGCUUUGGGGUGAGAUGUGCGCUCGCGGCCUUGAUCCAUUUAGUGGACGCUUUUUCUCACUUCUCUUCACCCUCUGGCUCCGCGGGAGACUGCGCUCGCACCCGGCCCCGGAGCGCUCGAGCUGCGCGCUGGGACACUGGGUAUACGUGUGGAGGGGACACCCGGAGAGGGCGGCCCGUGCGGGAUCCCCGCGCUCUCCACCUGCGAGGGGCGGGCCGGAGCUGGGUCCCGCGCGCGGUUUCCCGAGCGGGUGGCUGGGCAAGAAGGGAGCCCUUCGUUGGGGCAGCUGUGAUCCGGUAGAGUUGACUGGUUGGGUGGGAGGGGACGGAGCGGGCGGGACUUGAGAAAAGCAAAGUACCAGAGUGCGGUUGAGGGGUAGCGGGCAGCGCGCGGGAAACGACUGCCCUUUUCUUCUCCACCGUUGACCUUUAGGUUCCUGGAAAACUUUGGUGGUGAGGGUGUGAAAUGAGGGGGUGCACGUGGAGGGAAAAAAGGGACUCCCCUCCCUCUUGGCUUCUAUCCCACCAACCCGGGAAUGGAGGGGGAGGGAGGCGUGGGCUUGGCGCGUUUUUGGUGCUUUGAAUGGAGAACUCCGUUUCCCAUGAUGCUUUGUUUCUUUCUCUUUAAUUUCGGCGGCGGCUGAGGCUGCACGAGGACUGGAGCGCGUGGUGUGAGCAGCUGGAGCACACCCUGGACGCGCGGGCUGCUCGCGGACUUCAACGGGAGCAUUAGGGGAUUGGAGAGUGACUGCCCAGCGUGCGCGAGGGAUGCCAGAUGAACCGCUAAUUAGCAAAAGGUAGUAACUAGAAGGGCGCCCUGUCUGAUGGCUGUGGGGCUCAGUUUGGCCAGGUUGGGUUGGCAAAUACUAUGCAUUUUGAGUCAAGUUUGGAGUAUUUUUUUUUUAAUGGAAAAGAAAUCUUUACAGGUGUAGAAACCCAAUUUAAGGGGAAAAAUGUUAUUUUUCUCAUUUCUAUACUAAAUCCAUUCUUCCCUAAUAGAAAAUUGAUUCCAGAUUGAUGUAUAAGUUUUAUAAAUCAGUUUAGUUUGUAAAGACUUCUAAAGACUCAUUUAGUGGCAUAAGGUAUCGUGACGAAAAUUCAACAUUUAAAAUUCCCUCACUCGUUUAAUGUAUUACAGAUUCUGUCCCAAACGUUUUUGUUUUUCUUUUAAACAAAAGUUACCCCAUCAUGGAAGAGAUAGGGGACCCUGUGAGCCUUUUUCACAUAGAGGCUCACUUCCUUGCUGUAUGUUCUUAGGUAAAAUAAGCACUUGGAAAUGGGAGAAGGUUUUCUUAUGGAAGAUAAUGACAUGAAGGGAAGAAGAGCUAAUCUGCCUACUUUGGUUUAAUGGAGAAAAUGGGUCCAUAAAUGUUUAAACAGAAGUAGAGCCCUUUGAAAUAGAUCAAAAUGUGACAUCUCUCAGCCAUCUGUGCAUUAUGUGAAGACUGUAAGGCUGUGUUUCUUAAACCAGCUCUAAAAUUUCUCUCAUUUUCUAUUAAUGGGGUGGGGGCUGGGAAUAUUCAUUUAAUCUAACAGUCACUUUCCGUAUGGAGCCCAAAAGCUCUGAAUGAUCUGAAGACUCGAAUACUCAUCCUGGGUUUUACAUGCUCCUUUCUCUAGGUCCUCCUCUUAUAAAAUCAGGGUGGAUAGAAUGUGCCUGCAAAUUACUGAGAUGCAGAUAUCAAAUUUUCUUAGAUGGAGAGGGGGAGUCCAAAAUCCGCUUAUACAUAAGAAUUGGACUUUUUGCAGUUGCCAGUGUUAUUCGUGUUCAAUUCUGUGUAAAUAAUUGAGAUUAUUAAUAUUUCUCAGGAUUUGGUUGAAACCACAAAACCUAGCUUAGACUCUGUAAGCCAAAGGAAAGCCUGUUUCAGGAAUAUUAACUAGUAGUUUACUUGUUUAGUUUCUAAUAUGUGUGUGUUUGUUUUGUUGUUUUAACCAGGUGAGUCUGCAUGGAUCUGUGAGGACGGAAAAGAAGAGCUCCUGGAAGACUUAAAAUUUUGCUACAGGAAUAGGCCUUGGCCAUGUAAAAGUGCUUACAGUGCAGGUAGCUUUUUGAGAUCUACUGCAAUGCAAGCACUUCUUACAUUACCAUGGUGAUUUAGUCAAUGGCUACUGAGAACUGUAGUUUGUGCAUAAUUAAGUAGUUGAUGCUUUUGAGCUGCUUCUUAUAAUGUGUCUCUUGUGUUAAGGUGCAUCUAGUGCAGUUAGUGAAGCAGCUUAGAAUCUACUGCCCUAAAUGCCCCUUCUGGCACAGGCUGCCUAAUAUACAGCAUUUUAAAAGUAUGCCUUGAGUAGUAAUUUGAAUAGGACACAUUUCAAUGGUUUGUUUUUUGCCUUUUUAUUGUUUGUUGGGAACAGAUGGUGGGGACUGUGCAGUGUACAGUUGUGUACAGAGGAUAAGAUUGGGUCCUAGUAGUACCAAAGUGCUCAUAGUGCAGGUAGUUUUGGCAUGACUCUACUGUAAUAUGGGCACUUCCAGUACUCUUGGAUAACAAAUCUCUUGUUGAUGGAGAGAAUAUUCAAAGACAUUGCUACUUACAAUUAGUUUUGCAGGUUUGCAUUUCAGCGUAUAUAUGUAUAUGUGGCUGUGCAAAUCCAUGCAAAACUGAUUGUGAUAAUGUGUGCUUCCUACGUCUGUGUGAACACACCUUCAUGCGUAUCUCCAGCACUCAUGCCCAUUCAUCCCUGGGUGGGGAUUUGUUGCAUUACUUGUGUUCUAUAUAAAGUAUUGCACUUGUCCCGGCCUGUGGAAGAAAGGAGGAUUUUUAUCGUCUUCUUAUUUUAACUUUUAAAAGCCGUAAGUUCUGAUAUUUAGUCAUUGUAAAAUGAUCUGUUUUGCUGUUGUCGGGUGGAUCACGAUGCAAUUUUGAUGAGUAUCAUAGGAGAAAAAUUGCACGGUAUCCAUCUGUAAACCGCAGGACCUUUGUUGGCGACAUUCCUGAUCAGCGCUACAGUAAGCUAGAUGGUAAAAAAUCCUUUCUCUAGUUGCUGCUAUUAAAAAAUAAUUUGAAAUAUAUUUGAAUUUCUAAAAACUAUGACAGCUAAUUUAUAAAGUAUGUGUUUUGGAACUUCGGUGAAUGAUCAGAUUGUUACUGAAUGUGAAUGAACCUCAAAAUAAAUGAAAUUUAUAGAUCUGAAAAA